GAUGAACGCUGGCGGCGUGCCUAAUACAUGCAAGUCGAGCGAACAGACGAGGAGCUUGCUCCUCUGACGUUAGCGGCGGACGGGUGAGUAACACGUGGAUAACCUACCUAUAAGACUGGGAUAACUUGGGAAACCGGAAGCAAAAACGGAAAAAUAUAUGAAACGGCAGGGUUCAUAAGGAAAAGAGGUUUUGGCGGUACCUAUAAGAGGAAUCCGCGCCGCAUUAGCUAGUUGGUAAGGUAACGGCUUACCAAGGCGACGAUGCGUAGCCGACCUGAGAGGGUGAUCGGCCACACUGGAACUGAGACACGGUCCAGACUCCUACGGGAGGCAGCAGUAGGGAAUCUUCCGCAAUGGGCGAAAGCCUGACGGAGCAACGCCGCGUGAGUGAUGAAGGUCUUCGGAUCGUAAAACUCUGUUAUUAGGGAAGAACAAAUGUGUAAGUAACUAUGCACGUCUUGACGGUACCUAAUCAGAAAGCCACGGCUAACUACGUG
rnacentral:rRNA from 1 species